rnacentral:miRNA from 1 species
AAGUUUAUGGCCAUGCCACCCUGAACAAGCCUGAUCCCAUCUGAUCUCGGAAGCUAAGCAGGGUCGGGCCUGGUUACUACUUGGAUGGG